UGCUAGAAAUAGAGCCUUCCUGGAUCUAUAUCUGGAGCUUCUCUGCCUUGAGGAUCAAUUAGACUCAAGAGCCCUUCAGUGGACAAUUUAACCAAGAAACAGCUAACGGCAUCUGGAGCCCAAAAGAUCAGAAAACAUUUGUCCAAGUCAGAAGACUUCAAAAUGAAGAUAGUCUUGCUGCUAGCUGUAAUAAUGGCCUGUGACUUAUUUGAGGUUCAAGGGGAUGCAAAACAAUUCUUAAGGAUGAUAAGAAAAAUCACGGGAAAGAGGUUAUUUUAUCCUUAUGGCUUCAACAGAUGCCAAUGUAAAGAUCAAGAUAAAAGAACUGACAGAUGCUGUUCCGCCCAUGACUGCUGCUAUUUAAAGCUGAAGAAGAAAGGCUGCAAACCCAGAAGAUUGAAAUACCAUUAUGUAAUCCAAGAUCAGUCCGUCAUCUGUGAGAAUGGGAACAAAUGUCAGAAGAAAGUCUGUGCCUGUGAUAAAGCAGCUGCCUACUGUAUGAAGAAAAACGUGAAAAAUUACCAGCAUAACCUAUUUAUCUCCAAGGCUGAGAGCUUUCCCCCUUCCUCAACAAAAAUCAACAAUAAGUAGCCUCAGAGCUCCAACUUGAGAGCCAUCACUGCCCAAUCUUUUUCGGAAUGGUGUUGCUUUGCCAACAGGAUUCACACUAAUUAAUGCAAUCAGUCAACAAAUCUUUAUUAAUUGCUUACUCUGAGCUAGUCAUUCUAAUAUAAAUUACCAACCUCAAUUCCAGAGGCCUGAUGGUAAAAUUUAUUUUCCUUCUCUCAGGAGAGAACUGAAAAAGGAGGGAUGUGGAAUCCAUACCUGUAGAAUUAUGCUGCUGGGAUUUUUGAUUUGGUUUCUUUUAUUGUUCCUUAUUGUUAUGAGGAGGGAAGUGGUUAUUAGGAAGUGAUACUGAUACAGGGGAAAAAAAGUAUCAAUAAAAGAUUGGGUCCAUU